rnacentral:rRNA from 1 species
UACGGGGGGGGGCAAGCGUUAUCCGGAGUUACUGGGCGUAAAGAGCGUGUAGGCGGAUGUGCAAGUCUGGCGUGAAAGCUCCCGGCUAAACUGGGAGAGUGCGCUGGAGACUGCAGAUCUAGAGGCAGGUAGAGGGACGUGGAAUUCCGGGUGUAGUGGUGAAAUGCGUAGAGAUCCGGAGGAACACCAGUGGCGAAGGCGACGUCCUGGGCCUGACCUGACGCUGAGACGCGACAGCACGGGGAGCGAACGGG